rnacentral:rRNA from 1 species
AGAGCGAACGCUGGCGGCAGGCUUAACACAUGCAAGUCGAGCGCCCGUAGCAAUACGGGAGCGGCAGACGGGUGAGUAACACGUGGGAACGUGCCUUUUGGUUCGGAACAACUGAGGGAAACUUCAGCUAAUACCGGAUAAGCCCUUACGGGGAAAGAUUUAUCGCCAAAGAGAUCGGCCCGCGUCUGACUAGCUAGUUGGUGGGGUAAUGGCCCACCAAGGCUACGAUCAGUAGCUGGUCUGAGAGGAUGAUCAGCCACACUGGGACUGAGACACGGCCCAGACUCCUACGGGAGGCAGCAGUGGGGAAUCUUGGACAAUGGGCGCAAGCCUGAUCCAGCCAUGCCGCGUGAGUGAUGAAGGCCUUAGGUUGUAAAGCUCUUUCGAGCGGGGAAGAGUAAGUGACGGUACCCGCAAGAAGAACGCCCCGACUAACUUCGUGCCAGCGAGCCGC